GGCACCGGCUCCAUUGAACCGAGCGACUCAUAGGAGGACGUCAGGGCAGGGCGUUCGGUUUUUCGAAGCACACUUCAUAAGCGCUAGGUCACUGGUUCGAACCCAGUCGGUGCCACCA
rnacentral:tRNA from 1 species